GACGUAGGGCGCGAGCGUUGUCCGGAUUUAUUGGGCGUAAAGAGCUCGUAGGCGGUGUGUCGCGUCGGCCGUGAAAACCUGCAGCUUAACUGUGGGCUUGCGGUCGAUACGGGCAUCACUGGAGUUCGGCAGGGGAGACUGGAAUUCCUGGUGUAGCGGUGAAAUGCGCAGAUAUCAGGAGGAACACCAGUGGCGAAGGCGGCUCACUGGCCCGGUACUGACGCU
rnacentral:rRNA from 1 species